CAGACUUAAGAUAUGGAGAUCCAAAUUACGGAAAGACCCCUUACCCGGAAUACCCUUGGUCCCGAGCAUUCUGGAUAACGGGUCCUAUAGCUGUACUAAAAAGGUGUUCAGAACAAUGCAGAAUGUGAACACAACAACUUGACAACAAGGAUCAGUGGGAGAUUUUCCUAUCAUGGACCCUAUACAAUUAAAGGAACCUGUCUCCAAUUGGUUACUGCUUGAAGGAAAGAGUGCUGUGCUGGUGCAAAAAUAAUUUUUACGUGUGACAAUUUUUUUGUCCCACACUGAAUGUUUCCGCUGUGAAUUUUGACGCCCGUUACGUGAAACAAUCCACCAAUGGCAAAACGCGGAAUCCAUGCCUGCCGAAUUAUUUCGCCCAUCACCAGAGGUAAUGAACAUAGAACAUAUUUCCUAAUAACUUGCAUACCAUAUGUAUCUGCCUAUCGCUUUGAGUUAAUGUGUCCAUAUGGGAAUCUGUCAUUCUCGAUUCAUGACCAAGAUGGGUCAUUAUGUGUUUUUAUUAAGGGUCAGAUUUGU